AGGUGGAUCCUGGCAUUAGCAAGAUGAGUUGAGUCCUGGAGUUGAUCUGUAAGACCAGUAACUCUGUCCUGCUCUGGGCGUAGAUGGACACCGGUUGCAGUUUUGCAAUGCACCUAUUCCAGAUUUCAGACUCCCAGCCCACGAAACUGCGAGGAUUUGCUGCUUUUUUGCUCUUCAGCUUCUUGGCAGGAGCAGGAGACGGAGCAGCGUCUUUAACAGCGGGGAAGAGCAACUCGUGGUGCCUGAUCAUCACCGUCAUCACCUUCUGGAUCAUCGGGGUCCCUGUGAAGAGUGUAUGUGUGGUAUCUGUAAGCAAUAUCUCAGAUCUGAUCCAAAACUAAAUAUAAAAUAAACCCAACCAAGCAUCAGAAUGUAACUGAUAAAUAAUUAGAUAGUUAACAGCUUCCAGUUUCUCAAUCAUGGACAUUUUGCUCAUAGUCUAAUUAAGAAGUCAGGGAAAACACAGGGCCAGGAUAGAGAAAGAUUGGUGUAAAACAUCAGGAACAUCAGGAACAUCAGGACAUCUGAACGCUGCUUAUAGCGAAGCGUAGACGGUAAAAGGGUUAAUAUUGAUGUCCAGAAGAUGGCGCUGUAAAGCAGCUGAAAGCUGCUGGUAGAUUUAUUUACUAAUUAUAUUUAAAUCUAAUUAAUAAUAAUAAUAAUAAGUGAGUUUUUAAACUGAUUAAAGAAAUUUUAUUUUCAUGACA